GAUGAACGCUGGCGGCGUGCCUAAUACAUGCAAGUCGAGCGAACAGACGAGGAGCUUGCUCCUCUGACGUUAGCGGCGGACGGGUGAGUAACACGUGGAUAACCUACCUAUCAGACUGGGAUAACUUCGGGAAACCGGAGCUAAUACCGGAUAAUAUAUUGAACCGCAUGGUUCAAUAGUGAAAGACGGUUUUGCUGUCACUUAUAGAUGGAUCCGCGCCGCAUUAGCUAGUUGGUAAGGUAACGGCUUACCAAGGCAACGAUGCGUAGCCGACCUGAGAGGGGGAUCGGCCACACGGGAACUGAGACACGGACCAGACUCCUAAGGGAGGCAGCAGUAGGGAAUCUGCCGCAAUGGGCGAAAGCCUGACGGAGCAACGCCGCGUGAGUGAUGAAGGUCUUCGGAUCGUAAAACUCUGUUAUGAGGGAAGAACAAAUGUGUAAGUAACUAUGCACGUCUUGACGGUACCUAAUCAGAAAGCCACGGCUAACUACGUG
rnacentral:rRNA from 1 species